rnacentral:lncRNA from 1 species
CAUCAUCUCUCUCUGUCAGGGGGUUGUAUUAUCAUCAACUCUCUCUGUUAGGGGGUUGGUAUUAUCAUCAUCUCUCUCUGUUAGGGGGUUGGUAUUAUCAUCAUCUCUCUCUGUUAGGGGGUUGGUAUUAUCAUCAUCUCUCUCUGUUAGGGGGUUGGUAUUAUCAUCAUCAUCUCUCUCUCUGUUAGGGGUUGGUAUUAUCAUCAUCUCUCUCUCUGUUAGGUGGUUGGUAUUAUCAUCUCUCUCUGUUAGGGGGUUGAGACCAGUGUGUGUACACGGAUGGGCAGUAUUUGAAUUCUUCUUUGUUUAUAAUACUUUGUAUUCCACUACGCUGAACUACACUCCAAUUUAUUUUGGUACAAGAUACUUUAGAGAGCUUUAAUUAUUUAUUUUUUUAAACAUAAUACUUUUCUAUAUCAUUUUUUUGAAGGCCAACAAAAAUACCCAGUGUGCUUUGCAGUUCAUUUUGGUGUGUUGAUUUUACAUGUUGUUAUAUUAGCAGACGCUCUUAUCCAGAGAGACUUCCUGUCGGUGUAUUCAACCGAGGUAGAUAAACAACACGUCACCGUCACAGGAAGUUAAAUGGUAACGUGUCCGUUAAUGACGAUGUUGUUGCAGUUCGGCAGAUGUAUUUCUGGAUUCCUGCAAUUUUUAAAAUACAAUAUACAAGUUAUUUUCAUACAUUGAUCUUAAUGGUAUUUUUUUGUUGUAUUUUGUAACGGUAUUCUGUAAUUUUAUAUUGUAACGGUAUUUUGUAACUGUAUUUUGUAACUGAUUUUGUAACUGUAUUUUGUAACUGACCAUAGAAAGCUUUUAUUUUCUAUGGUAGGUCAGGGCGUGACGGGGUUUUGUCUAGUUUAUUUAUAUGUUGGUUCUAGUUUCUUUUUUCUAUGUUUGGGUUUUGUCUAGUUUCUGUUUUUCUAUGUGGGGUUCUAGUUUCUGUAUUUCUAUGUUGGUUUUGUUUGGGAUGAUCUCCAAUUAGAGGCAGCUGGUCGUCGUUGUCUCUAAUUGGGGAUCGUAUUUACGUGGUUGUUUUUCCCACCUGGGUUUGUGGGAGAUUGUUUUUGAGUAAGUGUAUGUUGCACCUCUUCGUCACGGUUUGUUGGUUUGUUCAUUAGUUUAUUUGUAUGUCUUGCAUAGUUUCACAGCUAUAAUAAAAUGUUGAACGAUAUACACCCUGCGCCUUGGUCCCAUUCUUCAGACAGCAGUGACAUGUAUUUUGUAACUGUAUUUUGUAACUGUAUUUUGUCAUUGUAUUUUGUAAUUUUAUAUGGUA